UGGGGAAUAUUGCACAAUGGGCGCAAGCCUGAUGCAGCCAUGCCGCGUGUAUGAAGAAGGCCUUCGGGUUGUAAAGUACUUUCAGCGGGGAGGAAGGUGUUGUGGUUAAUAACCACAGCAAUUGACGUUACCCGCAGAAGAAGCACCGGCUAACUCCGUGCCAGCAGCCGCGGUAAUACGGAGGGUGCAAGCGUUAAUCGGACUUACUGGGCGUAAAGCGCACGCAGGCGGUCUGUCAAGUCGGAUGUGAAAUCCCCGGGCUCAACCUGGGAACUGCAUCCGAAACUGGCAGGCUUGAGUCUUGUAGAGGGGGGUAGAAUUCCAGGUGUAGCGGUGAAAUGCGUAGAGAUCUGGAGGAAUACCGGUGGCGAAGGCGGCCCCCUGGACAAAGACUGACGCUCAGGUGCGAAAGCGUGGGGAGCAAACA
rnacentral:rRNA from 1 species